GAAAUUUAUCAAAAUUUUUGUUUCUUACUAUUAAUUAAUUAAUCAUCAUACAAUCAUUGUUACGUCCGUUACGACGCAACAAAACAAUUAAUAUCUCGAGAUUAUUGAUUAAUCGACUUUUUACGAGAUGGCGUAUUUAUCAUUAGCACAUAAGAAAUAACGAUUAAACGGUGCAAUUUCAAUAAUACGGCCGUAAAAAACCAAGACCGGAAAAGGAAGUCGUACGUCUGACAAUGGAGAAGAUACACAGAAUAAAAUAUAGAGUUUGGCCGUGAGUUUGUUCGUUCGUUCGUUCGUUUGUUAACGAAGCGAACGCCCACAAUUGAUUGAGAGCGUCGGACUGUUAGCACAAUUGCCCUUAAAUUGAGAUGUCAUCCUAAACUCGUUUAAAGUCCUGUUUCUAACGAGAAAGUAUACACGAACUUGAGAAAUCGACGAUUUUUCUUCCGACGGACGAUAGUGAUAAAACGAUGCAAGAAAUAUUAUGUAGGUUAUGUCCGGAUCGAAUCUAUAAGCGUGCCAUAUUGUUCAUGAUUCCGAAAUUCCAUAUUGAGAAAAAGAAAAUAUAGAAAAGAUAGAGAGAUAUAAUACAAUAUACAAUAAAGAUUGAUAUUGUUUACAGUUUUUAAGAGAAAUCCUAUUGUGAAUA